rnacentral:rRNA from 1 species
ACGCUCGACACCUACGGGAGGCAGCAGUGGGGAAUAUUGCACAAUGGGGGAAACCCUGAUGCAGCGACGCCGCGUGAGCGAAGAAGUAUUUCGGUAUGUAAAGCUCUAUCAGCAGGGAAGAAACUGACGGUACCUGACUAAGAAGCACCGGCUAAAUACGUGCCACAGCCGCGGUAAUCUGAGCGGCUGCAAGGC